UUUUUCGGUUUGGGAGUAACUCAGUUGAGAACACCAUGCCUGCUGAGAAAGACACAGGAUGGUGAUUUAAAAAAUAACUUGAGGCUUGGGUGCUCCAUUCUUUGAGAAUUUUUUCCUCCUCUAUGUUUAAAAUGAUGCAUUAAGAGGACAUUGCUCUGUGAGAGAAGCUCAGCUGUGGACCAAGAUUCCGAAACCGGACCUUUUGCAUCGAUUAACGGUCAGCUGAAUGGAUAAUUUGAUCUCCAUGAGUAGCACCAUCUGAGACUUUCCCAUGUAGCUACCUGGAGAAUUUGUAACAGAAUUUUGGAGAGCAGUUUUGACUUAUGGAAGUAUGGACUUGGGAGUAUGUUUGUAAACUUUUGUUGUGUGUAAUUUCUAAUUGUACUAUUGAAAGUUCAUUGCUUACUCUGUAUUUUGAUAUUGUAUGAGAGGUGUCUGCUUGAUAUUAUUAUAUACCAUUACAUGGUAAA